rnacentral:rRNA from 1 species
GGCUCUGAUGCUAUUGCACCACAUGUGUUUUUCUUUGAAACAAACUUGCUUUGGCGGUGGGCCCAGCCUGCCGCCAGAGGUCUAAACUUACAACCAAUUUUUUAUCAACUUGUCACACCAGAUUAUUACUUAAUAGUCAAAACUUUCAACAACGGAUCUCUUGGUUCUCGCAUCGAUGAAGAACGCAGCGAAAUGCGAUACGUAAUAUGAAUUGCAGAUAUUCGUGAAUCAUCGAAUCUUUGAACGCACAUUGCGCCCUCUGGUAUUCCGGAGGGCAUGCCUGUUUGAGCGUCGUUUCUCCCUCAAACCGCUGGGUUUGGUGUUGAGCAAUACGACUUGGGUUUGCUUGAAAGACGGUAGUGGUAAGGCGGGAUCGCUUUGACAAUGGCUUAGGUCUAACCAAAAACAUUGCUUGCGGCGGUAACGUCUACCACGUAUAUCUUCAAACUUUGACCUCAAAUCAGGUAGGACUACCCGCUGAACUUAAGCAUAUCAAAAGCCGGAGGAA